rnacentral:rRNA from 1 species
UACGUAGGGGGCAAGCGUUGUCCGGAUUUAUUGGGCGUAAAGAGCGUGUAGGCGGCCUUACAGGUCAGCUGUGAAAACUCGAGGCUCAACCUCGAGACGUCGGUUGAAACCGUAUGGCUAGAGUCCGGAAGAGGAGAGUGGAAUUCCCGGUGUAGCGGUGAAAUGCGCAGAUAUCAGGAGGAACACCGGUGGCGAAGGCGGAUCUCUGGGCCGUAACUGACGCUGAGGAGCGAAAGCAUGGGGAGCGAACAGG